rnacentral:rRNA from 1 species
UACGUAGGUGACCAGCGUUGUCCGGAUUUACUGGGCGUAAAGAGCGCGCAGGCGUUCGUUCAAGUCGAGUGUGAAAGCCCCCGGCUCAACUGGGGAGGGUCAUUCGAUACUGAUCGACUUGAAGGCAGGAGAGGGAAGCGGAAUUCCUGGUGUAGCGGUGAAAUGCGUAGAUAUCAGGAGGAACACCUGCGGUGUAGACGGCUUUCUGGACCAUUGCUGACGCUGAGACACGAAAGCGUGGGUAGCAAACAGG